GACGAACGCUGGCGGCGUGCCUAAUACAUGCAAGUUGAGCGCUGAAGGUUGGUACUUGUACCAACUGGAUGAGCAGCGCACGGGUGAGUAACGCGUGGAGAAUCUGCCUUUGAGCGGGGGACAACAUUGGGAAACGAAUGCUAAUACCGCAUCAGAACUUUAAACACAAGUUUUACGUGUGAAAGAUGCAAUUGCAUCACCCAAAGAUGAUUCCGCGUUGUAUUAGCUAGUUGGUGAGGUAAAGGCUCACCAAGGCGAUGAUACAUAGCCGACCUGAGAGGGUGAUCGGCCACAUUGGGACUGAGACACGGCCCAAACUCCUACGGGAGGCAGCAGUAGGGAAUCUUCGGCAAUGGACGGAAGUCUGACCGAGCAACGCCGCGUGAGUGAAGAAGGUUUUCGGAUCGUAAAACUCUGUUGUUAGAGAAGAACGGUGGUGAGAGUGGAAAGUUCAUCAAGUGACGGUAACUACCCAGAAAGGGACGGCUAACUACGUG
rnacentral:rRNA from 1 species